AGCCUUAUCAUGUUGAGACACCAGUUUCCACCCGAUCACCAAAGUUCAGCAACGUUGAUCCUGGACAGUACCUAAAUGGGUGACUGCUUGGGAAUUCCAGGUGCUGUAAG